rnacentral:lncRNA from 1 species
CGCCCCCUUACAGCCUCGCCCCGCCUAGGCCCCGCCCCCCAGGCCGCUGGGCCUUUUCACUCCUGGUGCGCGCAGUUUCUCACACACCCGGAAGCUGAGAGAGGUCUCGCUGCGCAGCGAUAGACCUCUGAAG